rnacentral:rRNA from 1 species
GAUGAACGCUGGCGGCGUGCCUAAUACAUGCAAGUCGAGCGAACAGACCAGGAGCUUGCUCCUCUGACGUUAGCGGCGGACGGGUGAGUAACACGUGGAUAACCUACCUAUAAGACUGGGAUAACUUCGGGAAACCGGAGCUAAUACCGGAUAAUAUAUUGAACCGCAUGGUUCAAUAGUGAAAGACGGUUUUGCUGUCACUUAUGGAUGGAUCCGCGCCGCAUUAGCUAGUUGGUAAGGUAACGGCUUACCAAGGCAACGAUGCGUAGCCGACCGGAGAGGGGGAUCGGCCGCACGGGAACUGAGACACGCACCAGACUCCUGCGGGAGGCAGCAGUAGGCAAUCUGCCGCAGUGGGCGAAAGCCUGACGGAGCAACGCAGCGUGAGUGAUGGAGGUCUUGGGAGCGUGAUACUCUGUUAUUAGGGAAGAACAAAUGUGUAAGUAACUAUGCACGUCUUGACGGUACCUAAUCAGGAAGCCACGGCUAACUACGUG